GCAUGCGAUGCCGCUGGUCGGUGUUGACGCAAUGUGAUUUCUGCCCAGUGCUCUGAAUGUCAACGUGAAGAGAUUCAUCAAAGCGCGGGUAAACGGCGGGAGUAACUAUGACUCUCUUGUGAGCGGGCUUAGCGCACGCGUUGGAUCACAGAG
rnacentral:ncRNA from 1 species